AGCGAGCGCUGGCGGCAGGCCUAACACAUGCAAGUCGAACGGAUCCUUCGGGAUUAGUGGCGGACGGGUGAGUAACACGUGGGAACGUGCCCUUUGGUUCGGAACAACUCAGGGAAACUUGAGCUGAUACCGGAUGUGCCCUUCGGGGGAAAGAUUUAUCGCCAUUGGAGCGGCCCGCGUCUGAUUAUCUAGUUGGUGAGGUAAAGGCUCACCAAGGCGACGAUCAGUAGCUGGUCUGAGAGGAUGAUCAGCCACAUUGGGACUGAGACACGGCCCAAACUCCUACGGGAGGCAGCAGUGGGGAAUCUUGCGCAAUGGGCGAAAGCCUGACGCAGCCAUGCCGCGUGAAUGAUGAAGGUCUUAGGAUUGUAAAAUUCUUUCACCGGGGACGAUAAUGACGGUACCCGGAGAAGAAGCCCCGGCUAACUUCGUGCCAGCAGCCGCGGUAAAAC
rnacentral:rRNA from 1 species